GUGAGGAAUUUUCCGCAAUGGGCGAAAGCCUGACGGAGCAAUGCCGCGUGAAGGAUGAAGGCCUAUGGGUUGUAAACUUCUUUUCUCAGAAAAGAAUUAUGACGGUAUCUGAGGAAUAAGCAUCGGCUAACUCUGUGCCAGCAGCCGCGGUAAGACAGAGGAUGCAAGCGUUAUCCGGAAUGAUUGGGCGUAAAGCGCCUGUAGGUUGUUUAAAAAGUAUUCUGUCAAAGAUUAGGGCUUAACCCUAGAUAGGCAGAAUAAACUUUUAAGCUAGAGUUUGGUAGAGGCAGAGGGAAAGCCCGGUGGAGCGGUGAAAUGCGUAGAUAUCGGGAGGAACACCAAAGGCGAAGGCACUCUGCUGGGCCAAUACUAACACUGAGAGACGAAAGCGAGGGGAGCAAAUGGGAUUAGAAACCCCAGUAGUCC
rnacentral:rRNA from 1 species